rnacentral:rRNA from 1 species
UGGGGAAUUUUGGACAAUGGGGGCAACCCUGAUCCAGCAAUGCCGCGUGUGUGAAGAAGGCCUUCGGGUUGUAAAGCACUUUUGUCCGGAAAGAAAGCGCCGUGGUUAAUACCCGUGGCGGAUGACGGUACCGGAAGAAUAAGCACCGGCUAACUACGUGCCAGCAGCCGCGGUAAUACGUAGGGUGCAAGCGUUAAUCGGAAUUACUGGGCGUAAAGCGUGCGCAGGCGGUCCGCUAAGACAGAUGUGAAAUCCCCGGGCUUAACCUGGGAACUGCAUUUGUGACUGGCGGGCUAGAGUAUGGCAGAGGGGGGUAGAAUUCCACGUGUAGCAGUGAAAUGCGUAGAGAUGUGGAGGAAUACCGAUGGCGAAGGCAGCCCCCUGGGCCAAUACUGACGCUCAUGCACGAAAGCGUGGGGAGCAAACAGGAUUAGAUACCCUGGUAGUCCACGCCCUAAACGAUGUCAACUAGUUGUCGGGUCUUCAUUGACUUGGUAACGUAGCUAACGCGUGAAGUUGACCGCCUGGGGAGU